AGAGUUUGAUCCUGGCUCAGGAUGAACGCUAGCGAYAGGCUUAACACAUGCAAGUCGAGGGGCAGCGGGGGUAGCAAUACCCGCCGGCGACCGGCGCACGGGUGAGUAACGCGUAUGCAACUUACCUAUCAGAGGGGGGAUAACCCGGCGAAAGUCGGACUAAUACCGCAUGAAGCAGGGGCCCCGCAUGGGGAUAUUUGCUAAAGAUUCAUCGCUGAUAGAUAGGCAUGCGUUCCAUUAGGCAGUUGGCGGGGUAACGGCCCACCAAACCGACGAUGGAUAGGGGUUCUGAGAGGAAGGUCCCCCACAUUGGUACUGAGACACGGACCAAACUCCUACGGGAGGCAGCAGUGAGGAAUAUUGGUCAAUGGCCGAGAGGCUGAACCAGCCAAGUCGCGUGAGGGAUGAAGGUUCUAUGGAUCGUAAACCUCUUUUAUAAGGGAAUAAAGUGCGGGACGUGUCCCGUUUUGUAUGUACCUUAUGAAUAAGGAUCGGCUAACUCCGUGCCAGCAGCCGCGGUAAUACGGAGGAUCCGAGCGUUAUCCGGAUUUAUUGGGUUUAAAGGGUGCGUAGGCGGCCUUUUAAGUCAGCGGUGAAAGUCUGUGGCUCAACCAUAGAAUUGCCGUUGAAACUGGGGGGCUUGAGUAUGUUUGAGGCAGGCGGAAUGCGUGGUGUAGCGGUGAAAUGCAUAGAUAUCACGCAGAACCCCGAUUGCGAAGGCAGCCUGCCAAGCCAUUACUGACGCUGAUGCACGAAAGCGUGGGGAUCAAACAGGAUUAGAUACCCUGGUAGUCCACGCAGUAAACGAUGAUCAAUAGCUGUUUGCGAUACACUGUAAGCGGCACAGCGAAAGCGUUAAGUGAUCCACCUGGGGAGUACGCCGGCAACGGUGAAMCU
rnacentral:rRNA from 1 species